rnacentral:rRNA from 1 species
AAUCAACGCUGGCGGCGUGCCUAACACAUGCAAGUCGCACGAGAAAGGGGAGCAAUCCCUGAGUAAAGUGGCGCACGGGUGAGUAACACGUGAAUAAUCUACCUCCGAGUGGGGAAUAACUGAGAGAAAUCUUAGCUAAUACCGCAUAACACUUACGAGUCAAAGCAGCAAUGCGCUUGGAGAGGAGUUCGCGGCCGAUUAGUUAGUUGGCGGGGUAAUGGCCCACCAAGACAAUGAUCGGUAUCCGGCCUGAGAGGGCGCACGGACACACUGGAACUGAAACACGGUCCAGACUCCUACGGGAGGCAGCAGUGGGGAAUUUUGCGCAAUGGGGGAAACCCUGACGCAGCAACGCCGCGUGGAGGAUGAAAUCCCUUGGGAUGUAAACUCCUUUCGAUAGGGAAGAUGAUGACGGUACCUAUGGAAGAAGCCCCGGCUAACUUCGUGCCAGCAGCCGCGGUAAUACGAGGGGGGCAAGCGUUGUUCGGAAUUAUUGGGCGUAAAGGGUGCGUAGGCGGUUUGGCAAGUCUUAUGUGAAAUCUUCGGGCUCAACCCGAAGUCUGCAUGAGAAACUGCCG